rnacentral:misc_RNA from 1 species
AUUUUGCCUCAGCCAUACUGUAGUGACACAUGUAUCAUAACCAUUGCAAGUCAGCCAUCUUAUGCAAACAACGUAUGCCAAAAUGGCCGAUUUGAUAUGAACUUUUGAUUUGUUUCUUCUGAUUUAGAUUUACAAAAAUAAGAAUGGCCAUGAGUAAAGCAGAACGUGAUGAGGACAGGACAAGAUUUUGCAGAUUAAGUUUAGUUAUUGUUGAAGAAUUACCACUGAUAUUACAAGAUGUACUGUAUAGAGAAGUAUCUCCUAAUUUGUUACUUCAUAUGGUUAUGAAACAUAAAAAAGGUCUUGAACAUUUAGGACCACAUCAGAUAAUUCAAGUGAACAAUGCAAAGGCCAGUGGUUACAGUGAGUUUGAUAUCACGCUGCUAGUAUACCCUUUUACGCAACUACUUCAAGAAAAGUAUUCAACCUCCCACCAAGGGUUGGGGAAAACAAGAAAUGCCAGAACAGGGACAGGAAACAGAAGGUGAUGACAUAGAGCGCAUUCGUCUUAUUAGAAACAAACAUAACCACAGUGUGAUGGUCUCCAUUCCUGCAAUAUCCGAAACUGAAUUUAAUGAAAAAUGGGGAAUAAUUCACGCUGUUUGUGCACGAAUGCAGACUAGGUUACCAAAUAUUCAGCACAAUUAUGUCCAAAUGCUGGAAGAGUCCAAAAUAAGAACAAUUGAUUCAGACAUGGAAAAAACAUAUAUUGACAAGAUUAAAGAACUUGCUAAAGAAGAAAUGUCUGUCAAAACAUUACUACUGGAACUUGUCAAAGAAAAAGACCUUACAUCUAAAGAGAAGAUCACAAUUCAAGCCAGGAAAGACCAUAAGAAAGAUGUUGUGAAAUCAUUUACUGAUGUUUCUAUUCGUAUUUUUAAUGAAAUGGUGGAAUCCGACUUACAGAUUGACAUCAAAAUCAGAAUUAGAGAAACUAUAUAAAGCAACACAAAAAUUCCUAAAGGAACACAAAAAGGACAUUGAAGAUGAUCAACUACAAGUUUUGUUAAAAAGACUGGAAGAAAAAAUUAAGGCUUAUGCAAACCUGGAUGAGAAGAACAGAACAAAUAUUUUGAGCAAAUUUUUAAACUUUAACCUAAAAAUGAAGAAAAAAUACGGUGCCAGUAUGUCUUGCUCAAAUGGGAGCAUUAUCCUUUCAGUAACAUUUUCCUCAAAGGAAUGUUAUAGCCACUACAAAAAAGACCUUGAUAGAGGAAUCAUUGGAGAAGAAAUUCUGCAGAUCAUUCUAUAUCCGCCUUAUCUAGCCAGUUUUGAUUUAACAGCCGAAGAUUUGAUUGUAUGUUUGAAUGACCAUGAACUUACAGAGGAUAACAGAGGUGACAAGUCAGCAUACAGUUUAUCAUCUGGCCUUGAGACAUGUGCCAACCAUCCAGACCAGUACUACACGUUGGCAUGUCAGCAAUGCCAACUUCCUGUCUGUGUGUUAUGUAUUGAAAUAUCUGAACACAAAAAUCACAGCUUUAUCGGCCUCAAUGUUAUGUUGCAGGACAAAUUGUCCUGGAUUAAUGAUGAAAUCAAACGGGGUCACACAUUUGAAGAACAAAUGAAGUUGGAAAAAAGCACUUUAGUCAAACAUAUCAGCGAUAUAGAGUUAAGAAUGAAAGUAAAACACCAAUCUCUAAAAGAUCAGCUUGAUGACGUUUUAAAAAGGAAUGUAGAAGGACUUAAGAAACAUCAAGAAUCACACGUGGAUGUGAUUGAUGAACAUCUUAAUGAUGCAGAGCAACAUGUCUCUUUUUUAGAGAAAAAUCUAAUUGAUGCCGCUAAAUGCCAACCUGCACAGGCACUCAUUCUUUUGAGUUCAUCACGCAGCUCUCUUGAAAAGGAUUUGUUCAAAACAUACAAGGUCGACAAACCAAGGUUUGAUGAAAGGAAAAAAGAAUUCAGAACAAUUAGCAAAAUUUUUGGAAAGCUCUCUGCCUUUUCUAGCGAAGAAAGCGGAUCUAGUGAUGAUGAGGAAGAUUCAGAUUUUGAAUAUUCAAAACACACCAGGUCCAAAGAUUCGGCUAUUGUAAUGGACGAUCGGUUUAUAAGGAGCAAAAGGUUUUCCGAUCCCCUUUCUCCUUUUUCUUCCAUGGUAGACAAACUAGACGAUUCUUUUGACGAUUAGAAGAGAUUAGUUCAGAACGGGUUAGCUGAGGUCAGAAGCAGUGAUGUAAUUUAACAGAAAUUCUAACAUUGUCGAAAAAUAACCUCACAUUGUCUAAGAAGCUUUGAAUCAUUAAAAUUACAUUACUAUUAUUAAUGAUGUCAAUCAUGGGCACAUUGAAAACUAUGGCCUAUCGUGCUAACAUUGUCAAUUUAUGCAUAUAAUAGUGCACAAUGCUGCAUGCAUAAUGUGUCUGAGUGCUUUUAUGAAUAUUAUGUAUUUUAUGU